rnacentral:rRNA from 1 species
GUAGGGGGCAAGCGUUGUCCGGAUUUACUGGGCGUAAAGAGCGUGUAGGCGGCCAAGUAGGUCUGUUGUGAAAACUGGAGGCUCAACCUCCAGACGUCGACAGAAACCGCUCGGCUAGAGUCCGGAAGAGGAGAGUGGAAUUCCUGGUGUAGCGGUGAAAUGCGCAGAUAUCAGGAGGAACACCAAUGGCGAAGGCAGCUCUCUGGGACGGUACUGACGCUGAGACGCGAAAGCGUGGGAAGCAAACAGGAUUAGAUACCCUGGUAGUCCACGCCGUAAACGAUGGGUGCUAGGUGUGGGGGGUGUCGACUCCCUCCGUGCCGCAGCUAACGCAUUAAGCACCCCGCCUGGGGAGUACGGCCGCAAGGCUA